AAUACAGGACACCCAAUUAUAUCUGAAUUUCAGAUAAACAACAAAUAAUUUUUUUAGUAUUAAUAUCUCCCAUGCAAUACUUGGGACAUACUUAUACUAAAAAAAUUAUUUUUUGUUUCUCUGUAACUCAAAUUUAACUGGGCAUCCUAUAUUUU
rnacentral:miRNA from 1 species